CGCAUCGCUGGGUAGCUAUGUAUGGAUGAGAUAAACGCUGAAAGCAUCUAAGUGUGAAACUCGCCUCAAGAUGAGAUUUCCCAUUCCUAUAUGGAAGUAAGACCCCUGAGAGAUGAUCAGGUAGAUAGGCUGGAAGUAGCAGCGCCGUGAGGCGUGGAGCGGACCAGUACUAAUCGGUCGAGGACUUAACCAAG
rnacentral:rRNA from 1 species